ACUGGACAGGUGGUUUUAAUUUUCUAGACCUCUGAGAGAGAGAUGGGAGAACAGUCAGGGAAUAUAAAUAUCACUAAGGUAUUAAUUUAACAUGAUUGUUUUGGUUGAUUUUCUUGUAAAUAAGUAAGGAUAAUUUACUGGCUCAGAACAAAUAGAUUCAAAGUAUUUAGACUGUUUGAAAGGUUAGACUGAUUAGCAGGACAAGAAUACAUCUUAAAAUAAUAAUUUUCCUUUGCACUUUUUCUUUCUUAGAAUUUUUACUUUAAAAAAUAUUUUUUCCAAAGACAAACAUCAUGCUGAAGUACCUUUUGUUACACUACCUGAAGUUCUGGAGACCUCCAUUUUAAUGGAAGUUUCUCUGAAGCGAUACCUAAGUAGUACAACUGUUACAGAAUUACUAGUGCCUAGUUAAAAGAAAUGCUGUACUGUGUUUUGAAUAUCCCAGCCUCAGAUAACCUUUGAAAUUCCUGGUCAGUCAUAGUCUUGUUAGAGGUGGAGCUGGUAGCCCUGGAGUGAAUUAUUUCUAAUGAAGAUUUGUGUGAAUACAGGGCUAGGUGGUGGAGCAGGGCCUUGGUAAGCGCUGUCACAAGAAAAUGCAGUGAAAGUUCUCAGUGUGGCAAACUUCUGUGUAGAGAAAAAGGCUGUGAAUUUAAAGGAUUUUUUAGAGAAUGCAAAAUUAGCUUCUCUGAAAUGUUCUUCAAAACAUUCUUUAGUUGAUUUCUAGUGGAAAGGUGUUUAUGCAGUGGUGACCACUUGAAAUCAAUGGAUAGUUGAUGCUUUGAAACUUAUUACUAUAUAGAGUAAUAUAGCCAGAAUAAUAUCUAACAUUCUUUUGAAAAUAAUAAUGAAAAAGAACCUGCAUUUUCACAAAUGAAGGCCACACACUAGAACAUAGAUAAAUGAAGAACUUUUCCAAAGUCUGAAAACAAAUAACUUUGGGAGUUGUUUGCAUUAUGAAACAGCAGUUAAGUAGUGCCUUUGUUUAAAAAAAAAUAAAAAAUAAAAAAUUUAGAUAAGUUUAGAUCCGUUUCUGAAUCAUUUUCCCAUUCAAAGUCUCUUCAGCUUGGAACGGACAGUAAAAAUCUGGAAAUUGAAACAAAACAUUUUAGAAUGAUCACGAGUAAAUAUUUGUAUUAUUUUGAAUAAUUUCCCUCUUGUUAUUUUGGUUCAUGGUCAUUUUUGAGAUUUCAGCUUUUUGUGGCUUUUGAUGGUAGGGAAAAAUAAAACUCUUACUCAGUGAGCUCAGGAAAAAUAUUUUAUGUUCAGUACUUUGAAUACAUCUGUAUUUAUAUAUUUUAAAAGUGUUUAUUUGAAAAUAAAAUUUUUAGAAAAACUGAAUAGGUUUGUUACUCUGCAGUGUAAAAUUAUUCAGAUAAAGAGGUGAAGGUUUGUAUCUUUGAAAAUCAUGUUCCAUUCUGAGUGCCUAAAACUGAACUGAAAUUUUGGCAGGUGGAUUUGAAAAUUGCAUAUAUAUUGUGUAAAUUGAAAUCAUUUUCUUCUCUGAGAUGAGAAAAAGACAAGAAAAUAUGAAAGAAUAAUGAUAUUUAGUGAAACUUUACUAUGACCCAUCCUUACAAAAUUUCUGUUCUUCAGUUUUCGUAUAUAAGGGAGAAAAGAACCUUUGUAAAAACUAUUGCCAGCACACAAAACCAAAAUCAACUUUUGACCCUGCUCAAGCAAGACAGAAGUGCUAAGCAGUUAUUUAUGACAUUAUCUAGUAUUACAGUUCAAACAAUGACAUAUACAAAAUGGUAGAGAAAUUCUUCAAAUUUAAGAAAGGUUCCUGAUAUUAUUAUCCAUUUUUUCUAAGCUGAUCUGGUUCUGUUUGUCAUACUACCUAUUGCCCUAGGUGUUUUGUUUAAAUAUUAAUCUAUUAUUAAAUAUUAAUCCAGAGCAAAAUUGCAAACUGAAGCACACAUUUGAUCAGUGACUCUGCAAAUACCUGCAUUUAAUCGUGUUUGAAUGUACAUUCAGCGUUUAACUGCUCUUCUGUUGGCUUAAUCUCCAUUUUCACCUGCAUUAUUCCCCGUUUUUUUUCUGAAUAAAUUAUUUCGUGUAAUUACUUAAUGACAACCUCCUUUUUUCAAAGAUCCUGUUUGGCCUUGAUGUACAAUCCUAGAUACUUUGACUAUCACCACAGCUUGGACAAGAUUAUCAGUUUAUCAGUGAUAUAACUGUGUAAUGCCAGAUCUGAAUUAAUCCCUUUAGUGAAAUAUUCUCCUGCUUAAUAGGAGCAAUUAAAUGUCUUUCCUGGUAAAAUGAAGAUUAUGUGGCUUUCUAACAUGAAAAAAAUCCCAGAAAAACUGCUUUUUGAAGAACUUUUCCAUAGGGAUGACCAAGAACGACUGACUUGUAAGAAGAACUGGCUUCAGUAGUUCAAAGAAGAUGUAGUCCAGGAAAAAAGAAGAAAAAACUUCUUGCUAAGGAAGAUUGACAAGUCCUGUUGCUUGUGCUUUCUGACCUAUGGAAAUUCUACAUAGUGACAUGCUGGUUUUGACAGCUGUUGAAAAUGGCUGCAUGAGUAAACCAGAACAGGCGGUUCUUUGCUGGCACAAGGCUGGAUGGAAAUGACAGAGUAGAUUCUCUCCUGUUGAGAGACAGCAGGGACAAUGCAAGGAAAAUCAAGCUAAUAAAGAGCUCUAAAGUUUGCUGGGCCUACGCCUGGCAAAGAAGCCAGCACAGUCAUUUGUUUGGGCCAUCUGCUCUUGGACGGAUAAAAAGAGCUCAUCAGAAAUGAGCACCAGAAAAUUGUUUUGCAAGUAAUUUUGGCUCCCCUAAGUAUACUAAAAGCAAAGAUCCUUAAGGAAAAUUAAGUCAUCUACCUUUCCAGGUUAAAAAUCUUGCCUUUAUUUUGUUUUUAAAGUAUCUUCACUGCUAUAGAUUGCCAAUAUAUGCACCAGACAAAACGUUAAAGUAGCACCAAAUAUUACUCGUCUAUUUUGCCGAGAAGCAGUUAUGGCAAGUAAACAAAAUAUGAUUAAUUGGUAUCAUUUCUUGACAGGAGCAUUAAAUGGAUUUGCAAACUUCAGAAAUCACACUAGUAGGCUGGCAAAUAAUCUUGAAUGUUUUGCAGUGUAGAAUUUACUGGAAAAAGAAGGCCAAGAGUGCACUUAGGAGUUCUAACAUAGGGGUCCAGAUGAUAUAGAAAAUUUACUGAAUCAUAGAAUCAUAGAAUUAGCAAGGUUGGAAAAGAUCUACAAGAUCAUCCAGUCCAAAUUUGAAAUUUGUUUGUAUUUGGCAUGUCUCUUAUUUGGAAAAUGUUUGAUUUGUUUAAUAUGGAAGUAAGAGAGAACUGGAAAAAAUUCAGUCAUCACAAUCCAUGUGUUACAAAAGAUCAGUAAUAGUUUCUGGUAUUAAUGUGUUUCACAACUAAGUUGUUGAUGUGUUGUACCCUUGAGAGAGCUGAAAGAGGUUUCUUCACUUCCAUCCACAGAGUAACAGGGAGAAACUUCUGUAAGGCUCUUUGCAAAAGUGCAAAGUGAAAUAGUAAGAGCAGAGAAUUUCACACCACCGUUCCUUGUCUUCCCCUCAACUGGCAAAACAGUGUGGUUACACAUUGAAGAAAGCCAUGUGUGACAGACUUCCUUUUAGAGACAAUGAGUUUCUCCUUCACAGGUUACCACUGUUGACUGUCUCCCUCCACACCUUAAACAGUUAUGAAAGAGAAGUUGUGAUGAGAGUUAAUUAAUAGGACCAUAUCUGAGUAAUGUGCUAUUCCUACAUUUGAAAAUGGAGUAUAUAGUAAGAAGAUUGAUGUUGUCUGAUGAUCACAAAGUUUAACUGACGGAGUAGAGGAUUGUCUACAAAGUUCUGGAAUUAAUACAGAAAGAAGAAAGAAAAAGGCACCUAUGGUAUUGCUUUAUCUUUAUAGUAAAGCUUCUUGAACUGUUUUUAUAUUUUGUUUUGAAAGUUUUCAUGUUCAUCAGUUCUCUUGAAGGAAUUUGGUGCUUUUUACUCAUUAUUUUCUUGUUUGAUACUUUCUUUCUCUCAAUCUUCUUCAUGUUUCCAGUCAUAAAUUUCUCUCAGAAAAGGAAUAAAAGCUUUUUACACUGUAUUGCCUCACGUUGCAAGAAGCACAGAGGCAAGUAAGCCCUACCAUUUUUUUUUUGUCCUAAUUCCUCCUGUUUCAACAGGAAUAAACCUGUCAUAUUCCACAUGUGUGAUAACAUCAAUAACACAAGGUUCAGUUAAGGUGUAUUUGCAGUUUGAGUUAUCUCUACCUCUGUAAUGAGUUAUGUCCUCUCAUUCAGGCAGGAGGGAAACACAUGUUUUUCUUUUCUUUAAAAUGACACAUUAAUUUUGAAGCUUGUUAAUUGGGAUGAUCUUUAUAAUAAAGUCAGAUGUGUCCUACUUUUAUCAUACUGUUAACAUUCCCUAUGAAAAAUUUAUAAUGUUGUGAGUCUAUAAUAUUCCAAGGCAAGCAUUGUUUCCCUAGCAUGACUAAGGACUCUAUAGGAUAUCUUUCUGCAGCAGUUUUAUAAGCUUCACUAACCAAACCUGCAAAUUCACAUCUAGUACUGCUGGGUGAUUUUGCAGUACUACUGCAGUGCACACAUCUUGCUCAGAAUAUUGUAGAAGGCAUUAUUGUUGGUAUUUCAGAUACAAGUGCCUGUUCUGAUUUAUUCAUCUGUUGCUGAUCAUUGUAUCUGGAAAAAAUAUCUGAAAGUAAAUGAAAGCUUUCUUUUAGCUCUGGUAAUUUAUCUUGAAGUCCCUACAAGAUACUACCUCAUGGCAGACUUUGUCCAGUCACUACUAAGUGUAUGUGAAUAUUUCUGGAAAGAAAAAAGAUAAUAAUUUAGAAAGGUCAUGCAUGUUGUGAGGAGAUCAUAAUUGUACUUUAAAAGCAACCCUGAGCAGACAUGGGUAACUAACAUCAGAGGCUUGUAUUGUUACAUCUUCCAGGAUCAUUAUGUGAUGUUCUAAUGCAUAAGAUAACCUAGCCAGGUAGCUGCUUAUUCAACUCACUGUCAAGUCUUCCUUCUUAAUUUUUUUUUCUAACAUCUCUGACCCUCACUGCCUAUUCUCUGGUUAGAGGUAAAUUAGCAGCUGUGUCUUGCACUGCUAUGUAUAUGAAAAACAGGUAAGCACUAUAUAUACAAUACUACGUAUGAUAGCUUAAAACAGUAUAUAAAAUAAAUAUAAUAAUUCUCCUUCACACUGAGAACCAGGUGAACGAUAGGAGAAAAUGUAAGGAGCGCUUUGAGAAGGAAAAAUAAUGAAAUUACAGUGAAUUCACAUGAUAAAAUUGGAGGUUGUCUUGUAAAAUGCAAUUUUAAGAGAGAAAAAGCUCAGGAAUUAAAGCUUUGAAAGAAAUUCAUAUAUUUAAUUUUAUUUAAAUGCUAUUUCAUGAGGAAUCUAGUUAAUACUAAUUAUGAAAGUAGAUUUCUUUUUCAUUAAUUAACAAGUGUACAAUUAUUAUUUUUAUUUUAACAUAGUUACCUAAUAUUGAUAUGAUAACCUUUCUUGCUAUGAAAUGAAGUUGUAAGAUUAAUAUGUAUACAGUACUAAAACACAAUUAUCACUAAUGUGCUAAUUUAUUCAGCCUAUUUAGGGAAUAAUAGUUAAUUAAACAGUCUUUAAAAUUCCUCUGUAAGCCGAUAAAUGUUAAAAAUUCAAUUUUUUGUACAUAUAUAGAGAAAGAAAUAGUAGAUGAUACUGUCUGUUGAGUUCUAAAAAUGAAACUGAGACCCUACUAGAAAUCUCUUUGCUUCAUGACAUAUCUGUAAAGUUACAUCCAAUUAAAGAGAGCUGAAUUAAAAAAAGAAACAAGCACACCAGAAAAGAACAGACUAAUUGGGCUAUGUUUUUUUACAGGUGGUUGACCUUCACUUUUCCCAUCUCUAACAACAAACUGAAAGACAACCUGUGAGGAGAAUCAUCAGUUCACGCUGUCAUUGCCAUCAGUUCCUGGAAAUCGUGUGGAGCCACAGUCCACUGUGUUGGAGUGACUGGACUGCUGCAGCCAUGGAUUGUUAGGAUGUAGAGAAAGAUUAUCUGUAUUACUUCUUCGUAACCAAUAAGACUUUACAGAACUGGCAAUUAUCCUAUCCCUGCACAAAGUGUUUCUGUUUGCCUCAACGCUUGGAUCACUGAAUCCCAAAUGUGCAGUAGGUUUCUGACUUUGUCUGGAGCAAUGACAUAGAUGGCCGUAGAUGUUUCUCAGCACUGGGGCCUGCUUUCCUCAGCCAAACUCACCUUAACAUCACAGAAAAUUGGCAGAAAACACAGGGUCCCACAGAUGUAUGUCAUAUGGCUAGGACCUAGGUGCCACACAGCGGUGCUCUUGACUCCAUGUUGCUCAAAGGCCUGUGCUGGCUGGAGGGAGUUAAAGCAGCAAGCCUACCAGAACUGGCUUUGGAAGGAGGGCUAAGACUCAGCUCUGCAAAGAAGGUGAACCAUCCAGUGGGAUGAGGCAUUUUCUUGCCCGACUGAUCUACUAAGUCAGAUAUGGAAAGAAUCACAGAAAUGAAGGGACCUCAAGAGAGCAUUGAGUCCAAACUCCUGCUAAAGCAGAAGAUUCAUCCCGGUUCAUAUCUCAGCAUCCUCCCGGAAUCAGGGACAGAUACAUUUCUCUGGGUCAGUCAUGAAUAUGAAGAGAAGUAAGGCAGAUGGAGAGGAGAUGCACCUUCUCCAUGUAAGGAGAGGACCACACAAAAUUAAGAACAGCCAUGGUGGACCCAGGUAGGAACCCCAUUCUUGGGGGCAGUCAGCAGUGGCACUGGCCUAAUGUCAGUUGAAAUAUCCCUUUUUCUCUCAAGAAAAGCUCUGUAUCUAGUGUACAUCUUCACCUGUAUCAAGGCUAUGGCUCAGUGAAAUCACCAAGAAUGAUUUAAUUGACUUUUGUGUACUUUUAAUCUAAUCCUCUGAACUGUAGCAUUCUGAUAGCCAAUGUUUAGCCUUAUUCAUUUAGGAGUUCAGUUCACCUCUCACUGAGAAUUUCUGAAAGCCUUACUGAAAAAUGGAUUGGGCAUUUAGCUAUUUAUGAGAAUCUUGCUUUUAAACUGUGAGAAGAUAUCUUUUUAAUUAAUCCUCACAGAAAACAAUUGAAUGCUUGACCUACAAGGAUAAUUACUUGUGUUCUGCUUUGAUUACUUUGUAAAAGUUUUAUUGGAUUUAUAUAGUGUACUGCAUAAUAUGUGAUCUAAAAUUGGAGCUCUUUACUACAGCAUGGAGUGGAGCUUUAUACUGCAGCAUAAACUUUAUAGAAUUGACAACCAUGUUGUCUAUAUAAAAACAUCAUUCUGUAAUUAGUCUUAUUAGUAUAAUUUUUUAGGGAAUAUCUGUCGUGUCUUUUGUGUUUUUUUUGUACAUACAAAUCUUUCAUUAAACCAUAAACUGACUA